rnacentral:misc_RNA from 1 species
UACUCUCACACUCUCUAAUUAUUAGAGAGCGGUGGAAUUGGGUGUUGCCUGGUGCUUGCUGUCAGGCUCAUCUCAAAUGCGUUAGUGCGACUGCUAGUCGGACAUAGUACGGCGUGAUAAGUAAACCCUCGCUGUUUUAGGUCUUACUAGUUGCUCUGUGCUUCAAACGGUCUUCGGACAAUCUCUGAUA